GUAUUGGUGGUUCAGUGGUAGAAUUCUCGCCUGCUACGCUGGAGACCUUGAGUCUAUUCCCGACUAAUACA
rnacentral:tRNA from 1 species